AGAAAGCACUGGAUUAUGUUGUUCAAAAGGCAUAAUGUUAGGAGCCUUCUCUGCACAAGGUACAUCUUAUAUUUCAAUGAAGUGAUAAAUGUUAUUAUAAGAGGCAUAAUGUUAGGAGCCUUCUCUGCACAAGGUACAUCUUAUAUUUAAAUGAAGUGAUAAAUGUUAUUGUACCAACACUUCUAAGAAUUUGAGAAAGAUGAUUAUGUCUAUUACGUAUCC
rnacentral:lncRNA from 1 species